UCUUUUUCUUCUCUUUUUCUUUCCAUUAAUUUUGUUCCCCACUCCAUUUUACCACUAAAUCUACUUUUUGACUUUCACCACCAUUUUCCCCACCACUUUCACCACCUACUCAAUUAUGCAACAACACAUAUUGUACCAGCCAUCAAGUCUUUUCUUCCCUCACCAAAACGUGUAGAAGAAGUUGAGAAAGGGAGAGAGAGUUUCCUCCAACUCCAAAUUGUAACUUGAAGAGGUUGAGCAGCUGCCGAUGGUGAUGAAGUGACGAGCGGGAUUCUUUUGUCUUAUUAUGUAUUAAUGAACUCUAGGGUUACAUGUCUUCAUACAUGUAAUCAGAACCUUAUUCCGCUGCGUACUCAGAAGUUUUAUGUUAUUUUGGAUAAGUCGGAGUUAUCCGAACUUGUUAGUUAUUUGAGUCUAUACGACAAAAACUCUGUUAUAUUAUAGAUAUCCAUGUUGUUAACAAUGAUGAAAUACGAUCCUUUCUUGUUUGAUUA